GACGAACGCUGGCAGCGUGCUUAACACAUGCAAGUCGAACGGUAAGGCCCUUCUGGGUACACGAGUGGCGAACGGGUGAGUAACACGUGGGUGAUCUGCCCUGCACUUCGGGAUAAGCCUGGGAAACUGGGUCUCAUACCGGAUAGGACCACCGCCUGCCUGGGUGGUGGGGGACAGCUUUUGCGGUGUGUGAGCGGCCCGCGGCCUAUCAGCUUGUUGGUGGGUGGAUGGCCUACCAAGGGGACGGCGGGUAGCCGGCCUGAGAGGGUGACCGGCCACACUGGGACUGAGAUACGGCCCAGACUCCGAAGGGAGGCAGCAGUGGGGAAUAUUGCACAAUGGGCGCAAGCCUGAUGCAGCGACGCCGCGUGAGGGAUGACGGCCUUCGGGUUGUAAACCUCUUUCAGCACCGACGAAGCGCAAGUGACGGUAGGUGCAGAAGAAGGACCGGCCAACUACGUGCCAGCCGCCGCAGUAA
rnacentral:rRNA from 1 species